GUCAGUGGGGCUCCAUGGUUGAGAGCACUGGUUGCUAGUCCAGAGGACCUGGAUUCAAACCCCAGCACCCACA
rnacentral:tRNA from 1 species